rnacentral:lncRNA from 1 species
UAGCCUAUGUCAGCUAGGCUUCAGUACUUUCUCAGAAUCUAUUUAAAGAACAGAUUAAUUACAGUAAACCGGCCGCGUAUCAACCAUCAUCCUAUUUAUAAGUUGCAGAAUUCAAAAAUGGUGCGCUGGGAAGGAAAAUAUUAUAACGUAGACGGCACUGGGAAUGUCAAAGACCCUCUACUCUUUUUUAUAGUCAACAGUCCUAUUCAUACAGCAAGUGCUCGUGGUUCCCAUGACCGUCUUUUUUCCAUACCCACUACCUGGAUGAGCGACGACAAGUCGACUUUUCUACAUCCACCAAUGGAUCUGAAGGUUGGAGGAAUCAAUUUUUGGGACUGGAGUUUAAUAACAUUGAAAAAAAGAAGGUUUCCGGAAUCCAGGACCGAGCUUCAAAUGUCAGACUUUUUAACAGAAGUUGACUUCCCAAAUUCAUUUGAAGAUUCGAAAAAUGAGAUCUCGUCCAUAUUGAAUCUCUCUCCGGUGGAAUCAAUUAUGAUUUAAAAGAGCGUACUACAACUCGGGAAUACUCCCAAGCGUAAAACCACCAGCCCAGGAAACACCAAAGCCAGUGGAGAAGAGGAAAAACAAAUAUGAAGUUAACUUAGCUUCUCCUAAUCAUGGACCUUUGAGCAAGAGAUUGGAUAACACGUCCACUCCUAUAUUGGCGAUCAAAAAUUUUCAGAAUCGAAUGGCUGCGACAUUUAAUGCUAAUAGUAGCGACUCAGAAGAAGCAUACAACGAGGAUUCUCAGUUUAUUGAAAAAUCCAAAGGUGAACAAGAGGGUCUCAAAUCUGCUGCCAAAUCAAAAAACAUUUUCACAUAUCAAUAAUUCAGGCGAUUCGGGUAUGUCAUCAUAUUUCGUUGAUUUAAACGAUCGUGAUCUUGAUGAUAUAGGUGAUAACAUUCUAUUGGACCUGAAUGUUAAAACUUUACCCUCGGCUUUACCCAAAGAACCGUCGGUGAGUUUGGAUGACGGAAACUUGACAAGUUACCGAAAACUCCUGUUUUCUAAAUUAGACCUGAUUGUAAAGGGGCUAAAUAGUUUGCAAAGCGAAAAAACACGCAAUGCCGUUAUUUUUUAAGGGAAUUUAGUCAACUUUACCAAGACUUUCACUGAUUCCGUAACUCUGCCUUUGAACGAUUAUUCCGAACUAGUCGCCUUAGAUUUGGCGCUUGGAAGUGUCGAGCUUUCCGUCAGCAUGGUUGGAGUAUUCGUCCAACGCUUAAGAACUUACAAUACAGAAAGCGGAGUUUCCAAAAAGUUGUGGAGUUCGAUUUUGUCCGGAACCUUGGCUAUAGGAAUUACAUGGAAAGUUAGGCUUAAUGAUGCCCGUCCAGCUUAUGGGCACAUGAUAAAUCUCGUUGCCGUCUUAGCUGUAAUAAUUCAAUUGAUUAUGGAAUCAACAGAGAAGACCCCAAUUACAAUAUUGAAGAUGAUCAAAGUUAUCCAAGAUGGGCGCAGAAAUGUUGCCUGGUCUUUCAAUACAAAAAUAGGAAACAAGCAGCGUAAUGACCCCGUUCCAAUGCGGGAGAGUUCUCUCAAAGAUCAGCUUGACUCUGAUACUGUCACCAAAAUAGAUGCACGGAUUACAAAAAUUACAAAAUCCUUUAAGACGUUUGGACUAAAUUAAAUCAAAUUAUGUCCUACUGUGUUUCUUUGUUUCAAUACAUAUUUGAA